CGCUGUCUGUUGCCACCACGAGAGGUGGGGACUCAGGCGGAACUGCCGGUGACAAACCGGAGGAAGGUGGGGACGACGUCAAGUCAUCAUGGCCCUUAUGUCCUGGGCUACACACGUGCUACAAUGGCCGGUACAGAGCGCAGCGAGGCCGCGAGGCGGAGCGAAUCGCUUAAAGCCGGUCCCAGUACGGAUUGGAGUCUGCAACCCGACUCCAUGAAGUUGGAAUCGCUAGUAAUCGCGCAUCAGCAUGGCGCGGUGAAUACGUUCCCGGGCCUU
rnacentral:rRNA from 1 species